rnacentral:rRNA from 1 species
GACGAACGCUGGCGGCGUGCCUAAUACAUGCAAGUAGAACGCUGAAGGAGGAGCUUGCUUCUCCGGAUGAGUUGCGAACGGGUGAGUAACGCGUAGGUAACCUGCCUGGUAGCGGGGGAUAACUAUUGGAAACGAUAGCUAAUACCGCAUAACAGUAGAUAUUGCAUGAUAUCUGCUUGAAAGGUGCAAUUGCAUCACUACCAGAUGGACCUGCGUUGUAUUAGCUAGUUGGUGAGGUAACGGCUCACCAAGGCGACGAUACAUAGUCGACCUGGUAGGGUGGUCGGCCAACCUGGGACUGGGACACGGCCCAGACUCCUACGGGAGGCAGCAGUAAGGAAUCUUCGGCCAUGGACGGAAGUCCGACCGAGCAACGCCGCGUGAGUGAAGAAGGUUUUCGGAUCGUAAAGCUCUGUUGUAAGAGGAGAACGAGAGUGAGAGUGGAAAGUUCACACUGUGACGGUAUCUUACCAGAAAGGGACGGCUAACUACGUG